rnacentral:rRNA from 1 species
AGAGUUUGAUCCUGGCUCAGGACGAACGCUGGCGGCGCGCCUAACACAUGCAAGUCGAACGAGAGAUGAGGAGCUUGCUCUUCAAAUCGAGUGGCGAACGGGUGAGUAACGCGUGAGGAACCUGCCUCAAAGAGGGGGACAACAGUUGGAAACGACUGCUAAUACCGCAUAAGCCCACGGGUCGGCAUCGACCAGAGGGAAAAGGAGCAAUCCGCUUUGAGAUGGCCUCGCGUCCGAUUAGCUAGUUGGUGAGGUAACGGCCCACCAAGGCGACGAUCGGUAGCCGGACUGAGAGGUUGAACGGCCACAUUGGGACUGAGACACGGCCCAGACUCCUACGGGAGGCAGCAGUGGGGAAUAUUGCACAAUGGGGGAAACCCUGAUGCAGCGACGCCGCGUGGAGGAAGAAGGUCUUCGGAUUGUAAACUCCUGUUGUUGAGGAAGAUAAUGACGGUACUCAACAAGGAAGUGACGGCUAACUACGUGCCAGCAGCCGCGGUAAAACGUAGGUCACAAGCGUUGUCCGGAAUUACUGGGUGUAAAGGGAGCGCAGGCGGGAAGACAAGUUGGAAGUGAAAUCCAUGGGCUCAACCCAUGAACUGCUUUCAAAACUGUUUUUCUUGAGUAGUGCAGAGGUAGGCGGAAUUCCCGGUGUAGCGGUGGAAUGCGUAGAUAUCGGGAGGAACACCAGUGGCGAAGGCGGCCUACUGGGCACCAACUGACGCUGAGGCUCGAAAGUGUGGGUAGCAAACAGGAUUAGAUACCCUGGUAGUCCACACCGUAAACGAUGAUUACUAGGUGUUGGAGGAUUGACCCCUUCAGUGCCGCAGUUAACACAAUAAGUAAUCCACCUGGGGAGUACGACCGCAAGGUUGAAACUCAAAGGAAUUGACGGGGGCCCGCACAAGCAGUGGAGUAUGUGGUUUAAUUCGA